rnacentral:misc_RNA from 1 species
AUAUAGCCGACCCCAAAUUUUUGGAAUAAAGGCUUAGUUGAGUUGAGUUUAGUUGAGUACUAUAAAUGAGAUGUUCCAUUCUCUGAUGAUGAUAUCUAACUUUAAAAGUGUGUAAACUAAAUUAAUAGCGUCAUUCAUCUAUCAUAAACCGAUGAAAGUUUUGGUACAAUUUUUACAGCUCUUUGAGGAGACAAAUUGGAUUCCUAAACUCAAAAACGCAACAAGUGUGUGUGUCAAUGUAAUAUGGCUAAUUGAUACCCUCUUACAUCAUUCAAGUGUUGUGUGUCAAUGUAAUAUAGCUAAUUGAAUUGAUAAACUCAUACAUCCAGUUGUUGUGGUCAAAUGUUGUAGUACAAUUGUUGCUGGUAGAAGGCAGAUUCAAAUAAAGCUACAUGCCAAAAUUUUUUUUCCCG